AUUGAACGCUGGCGGCAUGCCUUACACAUGCAAGUCGAACGGCAGCGGGCCUUCGGGUGCCGGCGAGUGGCGAACGGGUGAGUAAUGCAUCGGAACGUGCCAUUGAGUGGGGGAUAACGUAGCGAAAGUUGCGCUAAUACCGCAUAUUCUGUGAGCAGGAAAGCAGGGGACCGCAAGGCCUUGCGCUCUUUGAGCGGCCGAUGUCAGAUUAGCUAGUUGGUGAGGUAAAGGCUUACCAAGGCGACGAUCUGUAGCGGGUCUGAGAGGAUGAUCCGCCACACUGGAACUGAGACACGGUCCAGACUCCUACGGGAGGCAGCAGUGGGGAAUUUUUGGACAAUGGGGGCAACCCUGAUCCAGCCAUGCCGCGUGAGUGAAGAAGGCCUUCGGGUUGUUAAAGGUCUACUUUCGGUCCGGGUAACGGAAAAGUACGG
rnacentral:rRNA from 1 species